UGGUGGCUCUGGUUGUGGUAGGGCCCUCGGUCGAUCUUUCCUACCUUCAAGCCAGCGUAGGAUGAAUCUGUUGAGCCGACCUUGUCUGAUGAGCUCCUCGAUCUCAUCUCGAAGCUGAAUACACUCCUCUGUGCUGUGGCCGUGGUCAUGAUGAUAGAGGCAGAACUUGUUAGGGUUGCAUUUCCCAUGGUGUGUGCACAUCCUUUAGGGCCUUGGCAG
rnacentral:lncRNA from 1 species